AUACGUAGGGGGCGAGCGUUGUCCGGAAUGAUUGGGCGUAAAGGGCGCGUAGGCGGCCCGGUAAGUCUGGAGUGAAAGUCCUGUUUUUAAGAUGGGAAUUGCUUUGGAUACUGUCGGGCUUGAGGGCAGGAGAGGUAAGUGGAAUUCCCAGUGGAGCGGUGAAAUGCGUAGAGAUUGGGAGGAACACCAGUGGCGAAGGCGACUUACUGGACUGUAACUGACGCUGAGGCGCGAAAGUGUGGGGAGCAAACAGGAUUAGAUACCCUGGUAGUCCACACUGUAAACGAUGAAUGCUAGGUGUAGGGGGUAUCGACCCCUUCUGUGCCGCAGUCAACACAAUAAGCAUUCCGCCUGGGGAGUACGGCCGCAAGGUUGAAACUCAAAGGAAUUGACGGGG
rnacentral:rRNA from 1 species